rnacentral:lncRNA from 1 species
AGGCAGAAGAGAGAGGGUGGGGCACGGGAGCGAUCGGCUGCGCGCCGCUGCCCCUGGAAAGGGGCUCGCGUCCGGGCACCCGGGGGUUCGCUCUCCCCAGGAAGAGGCCCAGCAGGUCUGGGCCUCCGGCCCGCGCGGCUCCAGCGCUCCCGCUCGGCUCUCCCGUCCUGCCGCUGGCCCAGCAACUUUGUUCAUGGAAACCUGCCUUUCGGCUCCGGGUUCGUCCCUAACCGGGCCUCGGCGGCCACCUCGGGCCCCACUCCGGGAACGUGGCGCCGGGUCACCUGACCGCUCGCCCCGUCAAUCAGCGCCUGCCCUGCGCACCCUCCCAGCCCGCAGCCGCCUGGCCCGGUGCGGCGCUCCCUGCGCAGCUUCGGGAGCAAACCCUGCAGCUGGGAGAGAAAGCUACUAAGCUACGAUGAAGCCUUGCCCAAACACAGUGCCCUUUAUUCAGAUUAUCCGAAAUUGUGAGUUACGCCCCCCCCCCCGCUAGGCAACUGGGUCUCUAGUUAGGGCAAUUUUUUUCUUUUUAAGUCUUCCAUAUGCUCCUCAAAUGACCCCAUCUCAGUUUGCUGACGUUGCUAAUUUUUUUGGACCUAUAUCCAAAGAUAAUGUUUACAGAAUUUUCUUAACAUCUUUCUUUCUUUCUUUUUAGUGCAUUAUAAUUAGACAUAAUUGUGGAAUUCGUUGUUAUAUAGAUAACAAUAUGUCAAUAUAAUUUGAUCAUUGUAGCAUCAUUUUUUUAAUAUUUAUUUUUUAGUUGUAGUUGGACACAGUACCUUUAUUUAUUUUUCUUUUUAUGUGGUGCUGAGGAUCGAACACAGGGCCUCACACGUACUAGGGGAGCACUCUACAGCUGAGCCACCAUCAAACCCUGUAGCAUCAUUUUUAAUAUUAAGAAAAUAUUUGAAAUUGCGUUUCAUAUUCGCUUAUAUGUACCAAUAGUGUUUGCACUGACCUUGUUCUAUUUUUUUUCAAUUUGCACACAAACACAUCUAUUUAUAGUACCUACUCCAAGAAAAUACCAAAAAAUACCUGGGAAGAAAUGAACUUGUGCUUUGUGUGCAUUUUUCUUAUUUUUACAUUUCAUUCCCUGUGCAUUCCUGUUAUUCUUUUACAUGAUCAUCACACUUGGGAAGAGAAUGGAAAAAAAACAGCCAAGUUCCUAGGUGGUAUCAACCAAAAGGAGAGGACAAAUGAUAAGCAAGCUCUGGCUUCUUGCUAGCUUCAUUUUUUUAAGCGUUAGUUUAUGAGGCAGUAAAGAUAAACCAGAAGGGACUUCAAAAACAAGUUUUUCAGAAAGAAUUCACUAGACUUUUGUUAAUUAUGAACUGCAAGCCUCCUGGUCUCUACAUGCUGUUGGGGGUAGGAGGUUCUGAGUUAUAGAAAUCUACUGUCCAGCAUAGCUUCCUUCCUUUGGGGGAUAUUCUUCAUAUAAGCCAAAAAAAAAUCUUCAGUAUUAACUCAAAAUGGGUUUGAUAUUCAUUCACUUUUCAUUGCUUCCUUCAUUUAACAAAACAAAUUUGGGGCCUGCCAGGUGUAGAGUAACUGGGGAUGAUGGUAACUGGGGAUAAUUCAAAGAAGCCUGAUAGAGAUCUUGCCCUCAUAAGAAUGUAGAAUCCUGUAGGUGAGAUAAGGCAUGUAAACAAAUAUAUGCAAGAUCCACGAUAAGUGCCAUAAGAACAGAAUAGAUCAAGUGCUACCUAGUAAUCUUAGACACACAUAAAGCAGCUCAUUUCUCCUGGUAUCCCUGGUGGAGCCGAUGGAAACUCAGAUUUCUUCUUUAAGAAAGAUAAUAAGGCCACAUUGGACUGUUUGAUGACUUUAUCACUUAAAAUGAUAGCUGUAAAGCACUUUGUAAGUUGUGACAAAAUUUGAUCUAAAUAGAUAAUAUUUGCAGCACAAAUACUAACUAUUUAGCUCAAUUUUUUUUGAAAAACAGGUGUUUAUAACUUCUGAGUUUUUCAGCUGAGGGGUUGUUUAUUCAAGAUUCCUGAAAGGCUAUAAAGGAAGAGGCAUAAGGGACAACAGCUACCUUUUGCAAAGGAUUGAACUGUUCUACUGAUGGCAAGUUACCUGGGGACCUGUGCCCUACCUCUUGCUAGGCUUUCUCAAAGAGAUUGGUAGUCUUUGUAGGUGGUGGGCCCAAAAUGUCAAAGAAAGUCUUCUUCCUGGAGUAACCAAGAGGACAAGUUGGUCCUGCUUCUUUGUUAGGUAGGGAAACCACACUUAGCAGGAGAUCUUGACCUAAGAGGGUUAAUUUCCAUAGAGCAGGCAUUGUGAUCCUCCUUCACAUCCUCAAAAUCUAGUUUAGGAGACCAUGAAGACAGGCCACCCACCAGGAGGCGUAGAUAGCCACUAUCACACCUGCAACCAGCAUCUACUUGCACUCCAUACACUGGUAAGGGCAGGGUCUGGUAAGAUUUAGUCUGACCAUUGCAAGAUCACUGUAAAGCAUUUGGAGAAAGUGAUAGGAAUGCGGUCCUGGCCUACUGUUGGUUCAAAAUCAGAAUUGCCCUACAAUUACCAGGAAAUAGUGAAAAUUGCAUUGGUGUCACUUUAGGAAAGAAAGAUUUUGACAGAAAAUCAUGAUGAGGAGUAUAUGUACAGCUUCAAAUAUAUAUAUGCAGUAUAUAUAAUAUGUAGAAAUGAGUCACUUAGAUAUUGUUCAUAUCCAGGAAACUGCAUCCCGAAAUAAGAGUAAAGAAGAAAAUAUUUUCUACUGAAGUUUGUGCAAGAGUAUAUAAAUGCAAUUUCUCUUUAAACAAUAGAAAUGUGGGAAAAUGGCACAAUGCAUUAAAAAAGAACAAGACAACCCUUCUGCUAUACCCCUUGUGUUGGCUGAGUAAAGCCCUGUGUGAAAGAAAUGGGUAGGGAAGCUUAGGGAAUUUACCUUUUCUUAUCUUUUUUCAGGAACACAAAAUACAAAUCUGUGGCUUGUAUAUAAGAGAUACUAGAGUAAUUACUGAAUAUGUGACUGAAUUCCUCAGUCAAACAUCUAGUAUUUGUGCAAGUUGAAAAUAGCUAUAAAUAAAAUUCUUUAUAAUCGAGUUAAAGAAAAAUGAUAAUAAUGCAUGAAACUUUUUGAGAAUAAAUAACACAAAGGCAGAGUUCCUCACAACUCAGUGAACUGAAAAAUCACCAGGGAAGCAUAUUUGAAAUUCAGAUUGCCUGCCAUCCCCCAGAAAUUCUGAUUUAGUAGGUCUGGUGAGGCUCAGGCAACUUCAGCUGUAAUGUACAACCAGGAGGUUAGAUGAGGGUGAUUGGGAACCACCCAUGGAGCUACUGUGCCCAGGGAGCUAGCUCAGAACACUUCGGAUGAUGGAGGGGCCCAGAAAUUGCUCUAUCAGAAAAGAAAAAUAUUUAUACAGGAUCUAUAAUAAUUUCAAAAUAUCUAUGGUUAGCUUCAUCUCUUAGAAUUCAAGUGUUUCAUCUAGUUUCAGACCACCCUCGCCAUUACCCACAGCUAUUAAUACCUUCAGCUUCUUCCCAGCCACGUAACCUGUUCUGGAUUUGAGGAAACAGGCUUCUAAGAGUCUGCUGGCAAGCAAGUAAGGAGGAGAUGGAUACCAAGGAUGGGGGGCUGAAAUGCAACUCCAAAGAGGGAAGGGACUAAUGGGGAGCGAGAGCAACCAAUGGAAAUAAAGGAAGAAUUAAAGAGACCCAAAAAGGGAAGGAAGAGCCAUGCAGACCCUAAAGGGUAUUAAGCCCAGCCCCACUCCUCCAGGGGCACUGCCCACUGGGAAUCAGAAAACACUUCUGAAUAAAACACACCCUGUGCUGGGUUUAUCAUACGUGCUAAUUUCACUUGGUUCAAUUUACUUUGUGUAAUUUCAUAAUGUUGGUGCUGGAAGGGAUGUUACAGACUCUGCUGCAACCCUUUAAUUUAACAGAUAAAGAAGCAAAUGAAAGAUACAAAACUGGCUAAGGAGUACAUUUAGGUAAAAUAAUAACAAUGGGAAGAGGAGAUGUCCAAAUGAAUGAGAAAUGAAAAGAGAAAAUCCCGAUGUUGUAAGAGUUCAUUGUUCACAAAGAGAAAAUGAGGAAGGAAGAGAGGGGAGACGGUUAGUGUAGCGGAAUGAAAACUAGGCUAGAUUUCAGCCACUUAAGUGCUAAUUAUGAUUCUGAUAGCUAUUAGUUUAUGAGCUUUUAAAAUGUAACUUUUCAUUUCCUGUACAUAAAAUAGAAGAAAUAAUGCCCCCUUGAAUUGUUAUGAGAAUCAAGUGAGUUAGCUGAUAGAAAGCAUUUAUCCUCAUCUGGUCCUUUUUAUGUUUUAUGAUGCUCCUUCCGCUUUCUCUUAAGAGGAUUCACUGCCACUUUGUGAUCAUCUUUACUUCUUUAUUGCAGACAUCUCUGAAACAAACAGCAUCUGCUGAAGGCCUGGAUGUGCAAAUAGGUAUAAGCCAGGGUGUCCAUCUUUAAAGAGCUCAUGAACAAAGAGACCAUUAUAAAUUAACAUAAGUUCAUCAAUAUGGCCAAGACAUAAUGUGAGCCAGGACAGGGACACCUUACCCUCCAGGAGAAGGAUAGGAAUAGGCAGACAUGAAUAAGGAACACCUGAACUGAGUCUUAGGGCAGGGGGGUGUAGGUAUCAAAAAGAACAUGUGUUGUCAUGCCUCUGCCCAGCAUUGUUCCCCAUAUUUUUGAAGGCGUUUUAUCCCUUUGGGAAAUUGCUCCUCUCCUGCUCCAGUAGAUUUUGUCAAUUACUUCUCUGGGUGGGCUCAAGAUCCAGGAAUAGCCAAUCCUAGCGUCCCAUCCCAGGCUGUAGUGAUUAAGCUAAGAAAGGACAAGAGAUCGCGCUAAGUCUUCGCCAAGGAAUUUUCAUAGCAACACUGGGAAGGGAAAAUUCUCUCUUUUUUUCCCAAAAUUAGUAAACUGGAGUAACAUAAAAUUGUGACUAUUCCACCAUGUUCCUCUUCUGCUCCUACUAUUUAUUAGCUGCCAUUCCAUGUGUAUAGGAGAAAAGGAAAACAUUGCUGAAAAAAUUAGGAGAAGGAAUCUGGAGGAGGGAGAGCCCCUGGUUUAUGCCCACAGGCAUUCAAAGUGCCUUUUGUAUCACUCCCUUUAUUCUGAAAGUUAACUCAUGUUGGAAUUUUGUAACUUGCAACUAAAAUUAUCUAGUCUAAUCUAAAAUUAAUCAGGUAAAGAGUAGGCUUAUAAGAAGGCUUAAAGCUAAGAGAGAACAUGGGAUGUGUUUGGUGAUGGGUUGAAGUCCAGCUUGGUCCCCUCAAAUCCCUAACACAGCUGAUCCAAACAUCUCUCACAACCUUAGCUUUAGCUUGGAAAUAUAGAUUUCCAUGCUAUGGUCAGGCACUUCACAUGACUAGGUUGUGCAAGAAUGCCCUUGCCCUGAACUCUAGUUGGAUAUUGUAAUUGGAAUGUGCCCUAAAUCAUGGUCCAAACUCUCAGGUGAGCCUUGCCAGGCUCCUUGCUCAGAGGAAAGGCUCAGGUUCCUGGGCAGAGUCUUGAAGUCUACUUACAAAUAGAUACAUCCAUCUGGAAUUGAGAGUCCACUCUAAUGUAACUUCUCAGACAAGAAAGCCCACAUAGGUCAGUAGAAUAUUCUUAAAUCCCAUCCAGAGGUCAUGUACUACAUUACUCCAGAUUCCCCCUCCGCUGAGCACUGCCUUUAUGUACUGAGGAAUGGUGGUCAACAUAACUUAAACCUGAUCCCAACCAAGUGACGUUAUCUAUCAACUGACUCUCUUUUGUCAACCAUUAUUUCUUUCUAGAAAAUUCUCUUAUAGAUUUUAGAUGGGUGUCACAUUCAUCUGUGUUCUUAUCCUGCUUUUAAGAGGCACAUUGCUCCAUCAGUUCUCCUGGGCUGGGGUAAGGGCCUGGAAGGCAGGACCAGAUGCUCUGUGGGCUUCUUUCCCAGGGAGAACUGACCAGAGGCUCCUUCUUGUUGAUUAUUGGGUAUUUCCAGAGAUGUGUACCUGAGGAAGAACCCAGGAAUUCCAUCACAAUAAAAGGGUAAAAUAUCUGAGCAGUUUGUUGGUGUUAUACAAUUUCAAGUAUUGAUUAUUUUAACAAACUCAGUUGCUUUGUUUUUCAAAAUGUGUUUUGGUAUCAUCUUACUUGGUUUUCUAUUGCUGAAUAUAACUGACUGCCAUAUACUGGGAGAUUUAUAAAGGACAAAGGCUUAUUCAGGUCACUGUUCUGAAGGCUGGGCAGUCCAAGGCCAAGGAGUUGCAUCUGUUAAGGGCCUUCUUGAUGGUGGGGGUUCUGCAAGUCCUGAGAUAACAUAGGAUAUCAGAUGGUGAGAGGGAUGUAUGCAAGAGAAAGAGCCUUAUAACAAACCCACUUUCACAACAACACAUUAACUCUUUACUAUUGACCCUGAAUGGAUUAAUCCAUUCAGAAAGGCAGAGUCCUCAUAACCCAAUCACUUCUUAAAAGGACCCACCUCUUAAUAUCUCACACCGGUGGUUAGAUUUCAACAUGAGUUCUGGAGGGAACAUUCCCAUUAUAGUAGAUGUAGUUACAAUCACCAUGGCUGUCUAUACUAGAAGAAAAUAAUAGAAAUGUGUAUCAUGUACCCUUUUACCAAUAAUCAUCUUUAUUCAUGUAUCUGCUUUUACUUUUCAAAACAGAAAAAUCCAGGGAAAGAUUCUUUUCUUUUUGGAAAUUGUAUACAAGUACAUACUUGUUUGGAUCAAACUGUCACCUCCCCUCCCAGAGACUUCUCAGGGAUCUGAAGCCCUAAGGAUGUCAUUAGUCAAUUCAUGUGUGCAGUGGACACUUUCCUCAGCAAAUACUUCUAAAUUAAAAUAAGGGCCAAGAUUUGUAUGCUUUAGGAUUCCCUGGCCAUCAUGAAGUACUGGUGGUUUUUGUUGUUAUUGUUGUUUGUUUGUUUGUUACCAGGAGUAAACCCAAGAGUGUUUAACCACUGAGCCACAUCCCCAGCCCAUUUUGAUUUUUUAUUUUGAGAAAGGGUCUCACUAAGUUGCUUAGGGCCUUCCUAAAUUGCUGAGACUGGCUUUAAACUUGCAAGCCUACUACCUUGGCCCCCAGAAUUGCUGGGAUUACAGGCAUGAGCCACUACACCCAGCAUGAAGUAUUGUUUAAUUUGUUAAGGACAAAACAUAAAAAGAAUUGAUGCAAGCUGUAGGUAAAAGAUGCAUUGUUAUGCAAUGAUAACCACAAAAUUACAGAUCUUGUAACCUGUGAAAAGUUCUCUCUGUAUUUUGAAUUCAGCCAGAUGGGAGAAUGUGUUUCUCCUUACCACAUAGUAACACAUGGCUGGGGACCAUGAAAGAACCCAGGAUGCAUCAAUAAACACAUAACUCUUAUUUAGAGCAGCAAUUUAGCUUGGUUAAACCAGUAACUAUCACAUUACAUUUAUGUUGUUAGUUUGAACUAAAUAGUGAUCAAGUUGUAUUAAGUACUUGAUACAUUGUAUCAAGUGAUCUUUUUUGCUUUUGUUUAUGUAAAUGGACAAGAGCUAUAGGCCUAUGUAGAUCACACAUACAUUUGUACACACUUAAGUAACAUUAUAAAAAACAAAGGCUGAAUGGUUUUCCUCUGAUAUGUAGCAUCCACAAUAAGGGGCAUGGGGCCCUAGGGAAGAAUAGAGUUACUUCAGGUAGAGGAAAAUGAAGGGAAGGGAGAAGAUAUGGGGCUAGGAAGGCUAAUAGAAUGAAACGGACAUUACCUUAUGUACAUAUGUGAUUGCAUGACCAAUGUGAUUUUACAACAUGUAUAAUCAGAAAAAUGAGGAAUUAUACCCCAUUUACGUAGUAUUAUAUAUCAAAGUACAUAAAUGCAUUCUACUGUCAUGUAUAACUAAUUAAAACAAUUUAAAAAAAAAUUUUAAAUGUAACUCCGCAUAAGGAGUCUAUUAUUUUUAUUUUUCCAUAAAUAAGGUUAGAAUAUUACUCCAGUAUGCAGUUUGCAAAACAUUGGGUCAAUCAAAUAGCUAUGUUAAGACUGACCAUCAUUCAGGAUCUCAAGUUCAAGGCCAGCCUCAGUAACUUAGUGAGACAUUGUCUCAAAAUGAAAAAUAAAAAGGAAUGGAGACAUAGCUCAGUAGUAAAGCACCCUUGGAUUCAAUCCCCAGUACAAAAACAAUAAAUAAAUAAAUAAAACAAAAAAAAAAACAAUCAAACAAACCCACCAAAUUGAUCAGUAUGAUCAUAUUUUUAUAAAUUAUCCAAAACUUCAAAAGCCCUUUACUUUAUUGUAUUUAUCUAAAAAAAAAAAAAUGAGUAGUUUAAACUCUUGAAAGAGUCAAUUGUGACUUCCAAGCAAAGAUGGCAAUUGAACACACCCUGCAAUCUUGCUUCUUCCCACAGCCUGCUGAAACUACACCAAAGGGACUUGUUUUAAGGCAUAAAACCAUAAGGAAAAGGAGACAAUGAGAAGAACACUUUUGAGGCAGGAAAGUAGAUGGUCAAACAGAAAUGGACUUCAUAGGUCUGAAAAGCCUGACCCUAAGUCAGCAUUGGGGGCAGCUGAUAUAAAUCCAAUUUCCACUGAAAGGUCAGCAAAAAGCCCAGAAAUUAGAGGCACCAGGUGCCCUGUAAGCAGACAGUAAUGGGGGAAAGGAAAAAACAGAUUAGCUGAAAAAAAAGUAUUUAGAUCCCCCAGUUCCUUGGUCCACCCUAGCUGGGCAAUUGCAAUUCCAGAAGAAUAGAAAUGUAUUCUUGGAAACCAGAGGAUCUCUGAGAUCCAAGUCAAGGGUAUAUACUUGGAGCUGACACCACAGCCUCCUCUCCCAGAGCAACAAGGAGUCUGGAAGCACCUUCUACAAGGAAUCUGAACAGCCCAAAAGAAACACCUAAAGAGAGACAAUACUGAAUAAAAUGAAAGUCAUCCAUGCACCGAGAGCUCUCCUCACCUUUUUAUUCUGACAUCCCAAUUAUGAACAAUUAUCAGACAUCUGGGCUGAGGAUGAGGCUCAGUGGUACAAGUACUUGCCUAACUGGCAUGAGACCUGGGUUCAGUCCCCAUCAUAGCCAUGAAUAAAAAAAAAAAUCACAGAAAAAUUAUUGGAUAUCUGAGAAUAAUCUCUCACAAAUGUUGCACUGAAAUACACAAGCAACAAAACUUGGAAAGAAAGAUUAGGUUAAAAGAAAAAUACUUAAAACUAGUAUUAAUAUCUAUGAACAGUUAGUAAAAGAUUUUAUAUUAAUGAAUUAAGAAUAGGAGACUGGCUGGGCAUGGUGGUGCAUGCCUGUAAUCCCAGAGACUCCGUAGACUGAAGCAGGAGGAUCACAAGUUCAAAGCCAGCCUCAGCAACUUAGGGAGGCCCUAAGAAACUCAGCAUGACCCUGUCUCAAAAUAAAAAGUAAAGAGGACUGGAGAUGUGGCUCAGUGGCUAAGUGCCUCAGGGUUCACUCACCCAUACUAAGGAAAAAAAGGGGGGGGGGGAUAGGAACCUAAAAAUAUAAACUUACAGAAAACAAGCAAAUAACAAUAACAAAAAAAAAAUAAACAUGAUUAUAGAAAUGAACACUCAAUCGAUGGAUUGCAAGAAAAGAGUAAAAGAAAUCUUCCAGAAAGGAAAAAAAAAAAAAGGGAAAAACAUAAGCAAAUUAAAAGGCCAGUCCAAAAGUUCCUCAAAGAGAAACUGAAAAUUCAAGGCAAUUGUUUCACCAAUUUAAUAAUUUUUUAAGAUUUCUGAAAAUUGAAGAAUAUAUGUUUCUGGUACAAAAAAAGCUCACUAAGUAUCCAGUAGUAAAAAUCUACCCACACCAUGUAUACCAGACAUGUUUCAGACACAGGUGUUUGGACCAAAUAUCUGUAUCCCUCCAAAUUCAUAUGCUGAAAUCCUCAUCCCCAAUGUGCUGGUGUUAGGAAGUGGGUCUUUUGGAAGAUAAUCAGACCAUGAGGGUGGAGCCUUCUUGAAUGGGAUCAGUGCCCUUUUAAAAGGGAACCACAAAAAGCUUUCUUUUAGCCAAAUGAGGAUGCAAUGAAAAGACAGCUAUCUGCAGCCCUGAAGGGGCCUCACCAGAACCCCACCAUAUUACAACCUCGAUCUUGAACUUCCAGCCUCCUGAACUGUGACGAAAAAAUUCCUGUCAUUUAUAAGUCAUCAGUCUAUUAUGUUUUGUUACAGCAGUCCCACCAAUAGAAGAUAAAGGAGGUCAGUGAGAAGAUUCUGCAAGUUUUCAGAGUGGUAAGGAAUCAAUGAUCAUAUGCAAAAUUACCACAAAUGAAAAUGGCUCUGAACUUUUCAACAGCAAUUCAGGAAGUGAGGAGAAGAUAGAGCACUGUAUUCAAAAUUCUCACGGGAAAUGAAUUCCAACUGGUAUUAAAUAAAUGUCUAGCCUUCUUCACAACUAA